rnacentral:rRNA from 1 species
UACGAAGGGGGCUAGCGUUGCUCGGAAUUACUGGGCGUGAAGGGCGCGUAGGCGGAUAUCUAAGUUGGGGGUGAAAUCCCGGGGCUCAACCUCGGAAUUGCCUUCAAAACUGGAUAUCUUGAGUUCGGGAGAGGUGAGUGGAACUCCGAGUGUAGAGGUGAAAUUCGUAGAUAUUCGGAAGAACACCAGUGGCGAAGGCGACUCACUGGCCCGAUACUGACGCUGAGGCGCGAAAGCGUGGGGAGCAAACAGG